rnacentral:rRNA from 1 species
CCUACGGGGGGCAGCAGUGGGGAAUAUUGCACAAUGGGGGAAACCCUGAUGCAGCAACGCCGCGUGAGUGAAGAAGGUUUUCGGAUUGUAAAGCUCUGUUAGCAGGGAAGAGGAAGGACGUUACCUGCAGAGGAAGCCACGGCUAACUACGUGCCAGCAGCCGCGGUAAUACGUAGGGGGCAAGCGUUAUCCGGAUUUACUGGGUGUAAAGGGAGCGUAGACGGCGAAGAAAGUCUGAAGUGAAAGCCCGCGGCUCAACCGCGGAACUGCUUUGGAAACUUUUUUGCUGGAGUACCGGAGAGGUAAGCGGAAUUCCUAGUGUAGCGGUGAAAUGCGUAGAUAUUAGGAGGAACACCAGUGGCGAAGGCGGCUUACUGGACGGUAACUGACGUUGAGGCUCGAAAGCGUGGGGAGCAAACAGGAUUAGAUACCCGAGUAGUC